GGCCAAUCGGCGUCCAAAAAUACCGAUUUCCAAUUGUUAUGAAAACUUGAAAUCGGCCCUAAUUAAUCGGCCAUUCCGAUUAAUUGGUCGACCUCUAAUGUAGACGUAGUGCCUCCAUGUGUUUCCAUUCCAGUGAAAUGGUGUUUAACAUCUAGUCUCUCUGUCGAUAUCUCCCUCUCUCACCAUGAUUACAACCUUUGAAGGCCAGCCAAAACAUUUUGUUUCAUCUGUUAAAUCUUUUCAAUAAGAUGUUUUUGAUUGUAGACUGAGGGUUCCAUUGCCCCCUUCUACCCUCCCAGCUUUCCAACACAAUGGCAGCCCAUCAUAACCACAACCACAAUCCCAACACAACAGUCACACUAACCAUUACAAAUGGCAGUCAGAGGAUGUUUUCACUCAGAAACAGUACUGACUAAUGUGCGUUAAGACGAACUGCAACUGAGGAAGACAACCAAUCUAUUUACAGAGAGGAGUAAAGGGAGAAUCUUAGAGAGUGUUUUGGAGAGUGGCAGAGAAAGAAGGAAUUGGAAAGAAAAGAGGAUAAGUGGAAGAGGGGGAGAGGAAGAAAGAGAGAGAGAGGCUCACUGCCUGUUGACUCACUGAGCAGGAAUGACUUGACCUGUCGUGAUCUGUAUGACUGAGCAGUGUGCACGCUUUCUCUUUCACAUACGCUCUCUCUCUCUCUCGCACUCUCUCGCCACAGACACACUUGCCAGCUGAGUGGAGAGCUCCAGCACAGCCUCAGGGACUUAGAGGGACUCUGCCGGGGAAGAGAGACAGGCAGGGACCCCCCCCCCUCUGGAGCUCACUGGAACUUACUCUGUUUUUCUCUCUCUCUUUCUCUCUCUCUUUGUCUGUUCUCUCUCACUUAGUCUCUCUCCCCUUUCUCUCCCAUUAUCUCUCUAUUUCUACUCUCUCCUUCUGUCUCUUUCCCUCGCUCUUUUUUCCCUCUCUCCUCUCUCUCUCUGUCUAUCUCUCCCUCUUUCUCAGAAUGGACACAGGAUGUGAAGAGAGCAGGUGGCUGACAGUCUCACAGCAACAGAAAUGGGAGGCUGUGCAGGAUAUGACAAGCAGCCAUCAAGUCAGCAGACUAACUGGAGAGCUCUACUUUACGUCACAGGGGACAGACCCUUGGUUGGCAGAGCGGUUGCUGAGCUUUGAGAACAACAGUCAGGUGGGUAGAUGAGUAACAUUGUGUUCCUGUUUGUUGGAUGAGUUCCAGAAUAGAAGACUAGUAGACUGGUUAGAUAACAAAUAGUUGUUACGUAUUUGUUACAGGUGUUGAUAGAUAAUGAUUGUUGUCAUGAAUUGUGCAUACAAAAUUGUAUCAUUGUCCUAUAGUGUCUAAUAUUGUAAUGUGUUGUGUUUUCUUUAUGUUGAUGUGAAGAGAAUAAAAAAUAAAAAAGAUAUGCUAUUGUU